rnacentral:misc_RNA from 1 species
CCGAGUUUACAACUCCCAAACCCAUGUGAACAUACCUACUGUUGCUUCGGCGGGAUUGCCCCGGGUGCGUAAAAGCCCCGGAACCAGGCGCCCGCCGGAGGAACCAACCAAACUCUUUCUGUAGUCCCCUCGCGGACGUAUUUCUUACAGCUCUGAGCAAAAAUUCAAAAUGAAUCA